UCCGGCUUAUCACCGGCAGUCUCACUAGAGUUCCCACCUAAUAUGUUGGCAACUAAUGAUAAGGGUUGCGCUCGUUGCGGGACUUAACCCAACACCUCACGGCACGAGCUGACGACAGCCAUGCAGCACCUGUGCAUAGGCCCCGAAGGGAGGGAAUAUCUCUACUCCUGUCCUAUGCAUGUCAAACCUGGGUAAGGUUCUUCGCGUUGCAUCGAAUUAAACCACAUGCUCCACUGCUUGUGCGGGUCCCCGUCAAUUCUUUUGAGUUUUACACUUGCGUGCGUAAUUCCCAGGCGGUAUACUUAUCGCGUUAGCUUCGACACAACCAGGGUUGAGUCCGGUUACAUCAAGUAUACAUCGUUUACGGCAAGGACUAC
rnacentral:misc_RNA from 1 species